AGAGUUUGAUCAUGGCUCAGAUUGAACGCUGGCGGCAUGCCUUACACAUGCAAGUCGAACGGUAACGCGGGGGCAACCCUGGCGACGAGUGGCGAACGGGUGAGUAGCGCAUCGGAACGUGCCCAGUAGUGGGGGAUAGCUCGGCGAAAGCCGGAUUAAUACCGCAUACGACCCACGGGUGAAAGCGGGGGACCGCAAGGCCUCGCGCUAUUGGAGCGGCCGAUGCCCGAUUAGCUAGUUGGUGAGGUAAAGGCUCACCAAGGCGACGAUCGGUAGCUGGUCUGAGAGGACGACCAGCCACACUGGGACUGAGACACGGCCCAGACUCCUACGGGAGGCAGCAGUGGGGAAUUUUGGACAAUGGGGGAAACCCUGAUCCAGCCAUGCCGCGUGCGGGAAGAAGGCCUUCGGGUUGUAAACCGCUUUUGGCAGGAACGAAACGGCGCGCGCUAACACCGCGCGCUAAUGACGGUACCUGCAGAAUAAGCACCGGCUAACUACGUGCCAGCAGCCGCGGUAAUACGUAGGGUGCAAGCGUUAAUCGGAAUUACUGGGCGUAAAGCGUACGCAGGCGGCUAUGUAAGACAGGCGUGAAAUCCCCGGGCUCAACCUGGGAACUGCGCUUGUGACUGCAUAGCUAGAGUCCGUAAGAGGGGGGUGGAAUUCCACGUGUAGCAGUGAAAUGCGUAGAGAUGUGGAGGAACACCGAUGGCGAAGGCAGCCCCCUGGGAUGAGACUGACGCUCAUGUACGAAAGCGUGGGGAGC
rnacentral:rRNA from 1 species